AACGGUAAGAAACUUUUUAUAUAUUCACUUAUUUUAUAUCAACUUCUUGCUCAAAUAUAAUUUUUAAUAUGGCAUUACCAUUAGUUCAAGGUAUCGACAUUU